UAAGACAAUUAAAUAUUUCAGGUGGUUGGGACUUUUCUUUUUUUGGUUUGUUUUAUUUUGCUUAAUUUAACCAUUUUAAAUAUGAUUCUCUGGGAAUUUUUUCUUCAAAAUACAGAAUAUGUGUGCAUUCGUUUGCUAGGCUUGCUGCAACAAAGUACCACAAACCGGGUGGCUUAGACAACAGAAAUUUAUUAUCUCAUAGAUCUGGAGACUAGAAGUUCUAGAUCACAUUGUUAGAGUUGGUUUCUUUGACUACUGUGAGAAACUGUAUGUUCCAUGCCUCUCCCCUGGCUUCUGGUGGUUUGCUGGUAAUCUUUGUCAUUCUUUGGCUUGUAGGUGCAUCACCCGGAUCUCUGCCUUCAUGUUCACAUGGUGUUCUACCUGUGUGCAUAUCUGUGGCCAAAUUUCCCCUUUUUCUAAGGAUACCAGGCAUAUUGGAUUAGGGCUCCUCUCUACUCCAGUAGGACCUGAUCUUCACUCAUUACAUCUGCAAUAACCCUUUCCAAAUAAGGUCACAUUCUGAGGAACUAGAGCAAUCUGAAGAGGAUGUAAGUCAGUUUGAUUCCAAGUUUACACGUCAGACACCUGUCGACAGCCCAGAUGACGCAACUCUCAGUGAAACUGCCAAUCAGGUCUUUCUGAUGCCACUGCAAGAACGGGAACAAUGGAACAGGCCCUCACCAAAUGCCAAAUGUGCUAUCACCUUGAUUUUGGAUUUCCCAGCCUCCGGAACUGU